UUAUCUGAACCUUCGGGGGACGAUAACGGCGUCCAGCGGCGGACGGGUGAGUAAUGCCUAGGAAAUUGCCUUGAUGUGGGGGAUAACCAUUGGAAACGAUGGCUAAUACCGCAUAACGCCUACGGGCCAAAGAGGGGGACCUUCGGGCCUCUCGCGUCAAGAUAUGCCUAGGUGGGAUUAGCUAGUUGGUGAGGUAAUGGCUCACCAAGGCGACGAUCCCUAGCUGGUCUGAAAGGAUGAUCAGCCACACUGGAACUGAAACACGGUCCAGACUCCUACGGGAGGCAGCAGUGGGGAAUAUUGCACAAUGGGCGAAAGCCUGAUGCAGCCAUGCCGCGUGUAUGAAGAAGGCCUUCGGGUUGUAAAGUACUUUCAGUUGUGAGGAAGGGGGUGUCGUUAAUAGCGGCAUCUCUUGACGUUAGCAACAGAAGAAGCACCGGCUAACUCCGUGCCAGCAGCCGCGGUAAUACGGAGGGUGCGAGCGUUAAUCGGAAUUACUGGGCGUAAAGCGCAUGCAGGUGGUUCAUUAAGUCAGAUGUGAAAGCCCGGGGCUCAACCUCGGAACUGCAUUUGAAACUGGUGAACUAGAGUACUGUAGAGGGGGGUAGAAUUUCAGUGUAGCGGUGAAAUGCGUAGAGAUCUGAAGGAAUACCAGUGG
rnacentral:rRNA from 1 species